UACGAAGGGGGCUAGCGUUGUUCGGAAUUACUGGGCGUAAAGCGCACGUAGGCGGGUUGUUAAGUCAGGGGUGAAAUCCUGGAGCUCAACUCCGGAACUGCCUUUGAUACUGGCAACCUAGAGACUGGAAGAGGUUAGUGGAAUUCCCAGUGUAGAGGUGAAAUUCGUAGAUAUUGGGAAGAACACCAGUGGCGAAGGCGGCUAACUGGUCCAGCACUGACGCUGAGGUGCGAAAGCGUGGGGAGCAAACAGG
rnacentral:rRNA from 1 species